rnacentral:rRNA from 1 species
GACGAACGCUGGCGGCGUGCUUAACACAUGCAAGUCGAGCGGAAAGGCCCUUUCGGGGGUACUCGAGCGGCGAACGGGUGAGUAACACGUGAGUAAUCUGCCCUGUGCUCUGGGAUAGCCACCGGAAACGGUGAUUAAUACCGGAUAUGACCAGCUACUGCAUGGUGGCUGGUGGAAAGUUUUUCGGCACAGGAUGUGCUCGCGGCCUAUCAGCUUGUUGGUGAGGUAAUGGCUCACCAAGGCUUUGACGGGUAGCCGGCCUGAGAGGGUGACCGGUCACACUGGGACUGGGACACGGCCCAGACUCCUACGGGAGGCAGCAGUGGGGAAUAUUGGACAAUGGGCGGAAGCCUGAUCCAGCAACGCCGCGUGAGGGAUGACGGCCUUCGGGUUGUAAACCUCUUUCAGUACAGACGAAGCGAAAGUGACGGUAGGUACAGAAGAAGGACCGGCCAACUACGUGCCAGCAGCCGCAGUAAGAC